CCUACGGGUGGCAGCAGUGGGGAAUAUUGCACAAUGGGGGGAACCCUGAUGCAGCGACGCCGCGUGAGUGAAGAAGUAAUUCGUUACGUAAAGCUCUAUCAGCAGGGGAGAAAAUGCCGGUACCUGACUAAGAAGCCCCGGCUAAAUACGUGCCAGCCGCCGCGGUAAUACGUCGGGGGCAAGCGUUAUCCGGAUUUACUGGGUGUAACGGGAGCGUAGACGGUGCGCCAAGUCGGGAGUGAAAUGCCGAAGCCUAACUCCGGAACUGCUUUGGAAACUGGCGAACUCGAGUGCGGGAGGGGUAGGCGGAAUGCGUGGUGUAGCGGUGAAAUGCGUAGAUAUCAGGAGGAACACCGGUGGCGAAGGCGGCUUGCUGGACCGUAACUGACGUUGAGGCUCGAAAGCGUGGGGAGCAAACAGGAUUAGAUACCCGUGUAGUC
rnacentral:rRNA from 1 species